UACGGAGGGUGCAAGCGUUAUCCGGAUUCACUGGGUUUAAAGGGUGCGUAGGUGGGAAUGUAAGUCAGUGGUGAAAUCUCCGUGCUUAACAUGGAAACUGCCAUUGAUACUAUGUUUCUUGAAUUUUCUGGAGGUAAGCGGAAUAUGUCAUGUAGCGGUGAAAUGCUUAGAUAUGACAUAGAACACCGAUUGCGAAGGCAGCUUACUACAGGGAUAUUGACACUGAGGCACGAAAGCGUGGGGAUCAAACAGG
rnacentral:rRNA from 1 species